rnacentral:rRNA from 1 species
GAUGAACGCUGGCGGCGUGCCUAAUACAUGCAAGUCGAGCGAACAGACGAGGAGCUUGCUCCUUCGACGUUAGCGGCGGACGGGUGAGUAACACGUAGGUAACCUACCUAUAAGACUGGGAUAACUUCGGGAAACCGGAGCUAAUCCCGUAUAAUAUUUCGAUCCGUAUGGUUCGAUAGUGAAAUAUGGCUUUGCUAUUACUUAUAGAUGGACCUGCGCCGUAUUAGCUAGUUGGUAAGGUAACGGCUUACAAAGGCAACACAACGUAGCCGACCUGAGAGGGUGAUGGGCAACACGGGAACUGAGAAACGGUCAAGACUCCUACGGGAGGAAGCAGUAGGGAAUCUCCCGCAAUGGGCGAAAGCUUGACGGGGCAACGCGGCGUGGGUGAUGAAGGUCUUCGGAUCGUAAGACUCUGUUAUUAGGGAAGAACAAACGUGUAAGUAACUGUGCACGUCUUGACGGUACCUAAUCAGAAAGCCACGGCUAACUACGUG